rnacentral:lncRNA from 1 species
UUUUUGCUCGGUCACCAUCGCCAAAUCGGUGAAUGUGGGAUCCUUAAUCGAAUCUUGCGUUAAACUCGUCGAGGGAUUUGCAUCCGGAACUAAAUUUCUUAAAUACAUCGAAACUAUCGCCCAUGGGAAUAUCCAUUUCGUCCAGAAAACAUAUCGGAAAAUCGAUGGGAUAAAAACAUUUCUUUCAAAAUAAUUAUCCAAGCUCUCAAUAGAUGGCGGCACAAAACAUAACCUAAAAUGGGCUGUCAUUUCUUCUCAAUUUUGAGUAUGAAAGUGUCUUAACAAGAUGUGUAACAAAUCUGUCUCAAAACCCAAGAAAAUGAUAUUCAGUCUUUAUGGAAAGAAACAUCGAGAUAAUUAACGGAAACUUUCUAUACAGGACAUGGGGACACAAUUGGGUUUUUUUCUAAUUUUUAAAUGAGCAUAAAACGAAGAAAUGGAAGAAAGUGAAACGCAACUUUCGAAAGUUCAUCGAACUUUGGCAAUGAAUCAGAAGACGAUGAACUUGAUUCCACAAACACACUCUUAAAAUUACUUUUUUGCGUCGAUUAAGACCAUUUUGAAGCUUAUUUAGAAACUGAAUCGAGUUUAAAUCUCGUUUUGUUACGUAAUGAUGUAGAAUUUUCUAAGGUUACGACACUUUGUGUUACAUCACUUAGAUAUCUUUACCAACCUUCUUCAUUGACAUCCCAAACGAUGACGAUUGCUUUUAAUCGGGCUAAUUUAAUGGCUAAGAGUCUUCCUAAGCCGCUGCCUCCUCCAGUUAUUAAAAUAAUCUCUCCAGCGAUGUUUUUCUUUGGUUUAUAAGAAUUUGGGAUGCACAUUUUAAUGAUGGCAUA